AUGCGACUAGAUCCGGUGCUCAUGGCCACCUCCCCCUGGCCAGGGUUUCGGGCGUCGGCUCCGGCGCCGGUGGCCAGGUCAUCCUCCUCUAGUACUCCUCUCUUCCGAGGUGCAGGAAGGAACAGGCUACGUGUGACCUCCAUCGUGACGCUACUGAUGGUGAUGUCAAUGGACGGGAUGUGCCUCGGCGUUGAUGAGCAUGCACUGAGGCGGGAAGCGGAGAAGGAAUACAUCACCAAGCGAACUCAAUGGUACGGUUCUGGAGGUGGAGGACGUGGCCAACGUGGCGUUGUACUGGAGUCGACGAGGCUAGGUCGAGCACGACCUCUCAAACUGCGCAGAGUCAAGAUUGAUGCUAUGGUACCAUUAAUGAUUCCAGCAGAAGAUAUUUGCAACCUGAAGUGUUACAUAAGGUCAGCUUCAAGGCUAUGA
rnacentral:rRNA from 1 species